GAUGAACGCUGGCGGCGUGCCUAAUACAUGCAAGUCGAGCGGACAGACGAGAAGCUUGCUUCUCUGAUGUUAGCGGCGGAAGGGAGAGUAACAUGAGUAUACCCCACCUAUAAGACUGGUAUCACUUCGGGAAACCGGCGCUUAUACGAGAUAAUCUUUUGAUCCACGUGGUUCGAAGGUGAAAGUCGGUCUUGCUGUCACUUAUAGAUGCAUCCGCGCUGCAUUAGCUAGUUGGUAAGGUAACGGCUUACCAAGGCAACGCUGCAUGGCCGACCUGAGGGGGUGAUCGGCGACACUGGAACGGAGACACGGUCCAGACUCCUACGGGAGGCAGCAGUAGGGAAUCUUCCGCAAAGGGCGGAAGCCUUACGGAGCAACGCCGCGUGAGUGAUGAAGGUCUUCGGAUCGUAAAACUCUGUUAUUAGGGAAGAACAGAUGUGGAAGUAACCGUGCACAUCGUGACGGUAACUAAUCAGAAAGCCACGGCUAACUACGUG
rnacentral:rRNA from 1 species